rnacentral:rRNA from 1 species
CCUACGGGUGGCUGCAGUGAGGAAUAUUGGUCAAUGGCCGCGGGCCUGAACCAGCCAAGUCGCGUGAGGGAUGACUGCCCUACGGGUUGUAAACUUCUUUUAUCAGGGAGUAAAGUGCGGCACGUGUGCCUUUUUGUGUGUACCUUAUGAAUAAGGAUCGGCUAACUCCGUGCCAGCAGCCGCGGUAAUACGGAGGAUCCGAGCGUUAUCCGGAUUUAUUGGGUUUAAAGGGAGCGUAGAUGGGUUGUUAAGUCCGUUGUGAAAGUUUGCGGCUCAACCGUAAAAUUGCAAUUGAUACUGGCAGUCUUGAGUACAGUUGAGGUAGGCGGAAUUCGUGGUGUAGCGGUGAAAUGCUUAGAUAUCACGAAGAACUCCGAUUGCGAAGGCAGCUUACUAAACUGCAACUGACAUUGAUGCUCGAAAGUGUGGGUAUCAAACAGGAUUAGAUACCCCAGUAGUC